rnacentral:rRNA from 1 species
AUGCAAGGCGGGUCUACCAUGACAAGUCGAGCGGUAAGGCCCUUCGGGGUACACGAGCGGCGAACGGGUGAGUAACACGUGAGCAACCUGCCCCUGACUCCGGGAUAAGCGGUGGAAACGCCGUCUAAUACCGGAUACGACCGGCCGCCUCAUGGUGGCCGGUGGAAAGUUCUUCGGUUGGGGAUGGGCUCGCGGCCUAUCAGCUUGUUGGUGGGGUAAAGGCCUACCAAGGCGAUUACGGGUAGCCGGCCUGAGAGGGCGACCGGCCACACUGGGACUGAGACACGGCCCAGACUCCUGCGGGAGGCAGCAGUGGGGAAUAUUGCGCAAUGGGCGAAAGCCUGACGCAGCGACGCCGCGUGGGGGAUGACGGCCUUCGGGUUGUAAACCUCUUUUACCACCAACGCAGGCUCCCAGUUCUCUGGGGGUUGACGGUAGGUGGGGAAUAAGGACCGGCUAACUACGUGCCAGCAGCCGCGGUAAUACGUAGGGUCCGAGCGUUGUCCGGAAUUAUUGGGCGUAAAGAGCUCGUAGGCGGCGUGUCGCGUCUGCUGUGAAAGACCGGGGCUUAACUCCGGUUCUGCAGUGGAUACGGGCAUGCUAGAGGUAGGUAGGGGAGACUGGAAUUCCUGGUGUAGCGGUGAAAUGCGCAGAUAUCAGGAGGAACACCGGUGGCGAAGGCGGGUCUCUGGGCCUUACCUGACGCUGAGGAGCGAAAGCAUGGGGAGCGAACAGGAUUAGAUACCCUGGUAGUCCAUGCCGUAAACGUUGGGCGCUAGGUGUGGGGACUUUCCACGGUUUCCGCGCCGUAGCUAACGCAUUAAGCGCCCCGCCUGGGGAGUACGGCCGCAAGGCUAAAACUCAAAGGAAUUGACGGGGGCCCGCACAAGCGGCGGAGCAUGUUGCUUAAUUCGACGCAACGCGAAGAACCUUACCAAGGUUUGACAUCACCCGUGGACCUGCAGAGAUGUGGGGUCAUUUAGUUGGUGGGUGACAGGUG